GUUUUUUUUUUUGGUAUGGCGGGUACUCUCAAUGAUAUCAAUGUGUUGCAAUUGUCUCAUUUGUUUGCUAGAUUUGCUAGUGGUGAUGCUCCUGCUUGCACUUCAUGGUGAAUGGGCAUGAGUACACAAAGGGGUACUAUCUUGCAGAUGGUAUUUACCCCUCUUAGUGUACAUUUGUGAAGAGCAUCAAAAAGCCCGAAACAAGGAAGCAUAUUGAAUUUGCAAAGGUACAAGAGGCUGCCCGAAAAGAUAUUGAAAGAGUCUUCGGAGUUUUGCAAUCUAGAUUUGUCAUUGUUCGUGGUCUUGCUCGUUUUUGGGACAAGAAAACCCUGAGCAACAUCAUGACAUGUUGUGAUUCUUCACAACAUGAUAUCGAAGAUGAGAGGGACUUAAACUUGGAGUUCUUCUACAACAAUGUCGGUAGCCGUGUAAAGCCAACUAGAGACCCUGACCGCAUACAAGCAUCCCUUCAGUCAUACUGACAGAUUGAAGAUGCAAACACCCACCAUCAGCUUCAGGAGGAUCACAUUCGGAACAAGUGUUGUAUUGAGUUGAUUAGCUUUAUUCAGUGAUUUGAAUAAUUAUUGUAAUUUGGAUUCAAAAUAUUCACAUUUUAUGCUAUUUGAAUUCAUAUUACUUUCAUAUGUGAGAUAUGUGUUAAAUUCAGAAAUAACCAUGCGUUUAUAGCGGAACUGUAAAACAGAAUUUUCACAUAAUAUUACGUUUUACAGUUCUGCUAUGCAGGGUCUGUUCGGCCGCAGCCCGCGCGAGUCCGCAAAACGUAAACGCGCGAUAAGGGUCGGCGAUGUAAGGGUCUGCUAGAGAUGCUCUUAUCUCUCUUUAUUUCUUCAAUCUUGCCCCACACAGACCCAGCACGAACGAGGCAGAAACUAACCCGGUGGAUCCCAAAUGAAGAAUACACCGUGUUACUACUCCCUCCGCUUCUUUUUACUACCCAUAUUAGGUUUUCCUAAAUCAAACAUUAUAGAAGAAAACACCAGCAUUUGCAAUUCCAAAUCAGUAUCAUUAGUUCCAUCAUGGAAUAUAUUUUCAUGCUGCAUUUAUUCGGCAUUGUAGAUGUUAAAAAAAUUCAAUAUAAAUUUGGUCAAACUUUAUAAAGUUUGAUUUAAGACAAACCUAACAUGCGAAGUAAAAAGAAACAGAGAGAGUACUAUCAAACAACAUGCAAAGCAGUUUCGCCUGUCGGCACAAGGGAGAAGAACAACAAAUUGUCCAUUAAUAUUAGACAUCAAAUAUAACAGUCCCAGCACAGCACAUCACAGCCGCUGGAAACAACAUUUUUUGUGAGUCAGGCAGGCAUGGAAAUCCAUCCUAGUACAAGAUUAAUUAGCUGAGACUACAAGUCUUCCAUCAUACAUUUCAUAAACACAUGGUGGCUGUGCAGCUCCCCUCCCUACCAGCUGCCAUCAUCAUCAUCAUCCUUGCAUAUCCAUCUCACUGAAACCUCUCUCCCCAGCCACCAUAUGCAUACAUUGUUGGUUCAUAUAUCGGAGGAGUCACUAGACUCCCCAUAAAUAUAGACAGACGAUCGCCGCCGCGCCACAUAUACAACAGAGGGCGAAACAGGCCUCUAG
rnacentral:lncRNA from 1 species